GCGGCUGUGUGCGAGAGUGAUCUGGGUGAAUGUGCGUGUGUAAUCUGGGUGAAUGUGCGUGUGUAAUCUGGGUGAAUGUGCGUGUGUAAUCUGGGUGAAUGUGCGUGUGUAUGGUUGUGUGAAAGCUGUGUGAAUGCAUGUGUGUGAGUGUUUAAAAUCUACACCGUGAUCUUAUUUGAUCUGGGCAGAGUUGAGCCCUGCUCUGACUCGGAGGUGAUAGGAAGCCGGUCGCUAGCCCGCUGUGGCGUUGAGCGCUCUCCGGCCCAAAGCUUCAGGGCGCCCGCAGUAGAGCCUGUGGGUAGAGAUGAUGAAUUGAUCAGAUAUACUAGUGCUGCCGGGAUCUGGGGUUUAUCUCCAGUCUUCCCUGAGCGCACAGUGAGUAUAGAGGCGAUUCUGAUCUUC
rnacentral:snoRNA from 1 species